rnacentral:rRNA from 1 species
GACGAACGCUGGCGGCGUGCUUAACACAUGCAAGUCGAACGCUGAAGCACCAGCUUGCUGGUGUGGAUGAGUGGCGAACGGGUGAGUAAUACGUGAGUAACCUGCCCUUGACUCUGGGAUAAGCCCGGGAAACUGGGUCUAAUACUGGAUGCUACAUGUCACCGCAUGGUGGUGUGUGGAAAGGGUUUACUGGUCUUGGAUGGGCUCACGGCCUAUCAGCUUGUUGGUGAGGUAAUGGCUCACCAAGGCGACGACGGGUAGCCGGCCUGAGAGGGUGACCGGCCACACUGGGACUGAGACACGGCCCAGACUCCGACGGGAGGCAGCAGUGGGGAAUAUUGCACAAUGGGCGAAAGCCUGAUGCAGCGGCGCCGCGGGAGGGAUGACGGCCUUCGGGUUGUAAACCUCUUUCAGCAGGGAAGAAGCCACAAGUGACGGUACCUGCAGAAGAAGCGCCGGCUAACUACGUG